rnacentral:lncRNA from 1 species
CCUGUAAUAAAAAAAAAGGACAAACGUUUACCAUUAUUUAUUUAUUUUUUGUAAAUGUAACAAUAUCUAUACCUCCUAAUCAUCUCAAUUUUGUCUCUUCAAGUAUCUUGAGGACGUUAGUUUCAAGGAGGGAUUGUUUGGUAGAACUCCACUUGGUCGCGCUGGAGAGCCGAAUGAAGUUGCAUCAAUAGUGGUCUUCUUGUGUCUACCUGCUGCUUCUUACAUCACAGGUCAAACCAUUUGUGUUGAUGGAGGUCUCACUGUUAAUGGCUUCUCCUAUCAACCACAUGCUUAAGUCAGAUCUUCUUUAUUUGUGGACAGACUCAUUAAUAACAGAUAUUAUUGUAUUCUCUACAAAGGACAACCAAAAUCUUGUCUUCAAUUUGUAUUCAGCCGUGCUUUGAAGAAAUGAAAAGGUAUUGCAAUGCGCUAGUUUUUUAGCUCUGUUUUGCUCUGUUUUUCUCUGUUUUGUCUACAUAAAAAAACUGUAUUGCUCUGUUUCAGUGUUUGUGUUUCAUGAUGUAUUCCAAAUCCAAUGGCUCUAAAACAUGUCCUACUAUUUCGGAUACAUGUCUUCAACGAUGACAAAAAUAACACUCAGCACAACGUCUGCGUUGUAUUUGAUAUUAUAAACCUUUGUUGGCGGUAAAAAAAAGUGAAAGAAGUAAUUUCCAAGAAGUAUAGGUUUUAAGAGAAGUUUUACAGAAGAGACGAAGGAGCCUAUCGAUGUAUUGGACAUUUGAAAUUCUAAAUACGUGGAACGUUUAGAUAACUUGUACAAUAUUCUGAUUUCUAAUUUCAUUUGUCUCUUGUGAGGGAAGUAAUUGAACAAGACAAAUGAAUAAAGUGUUUGGUCGACAAUUUUGACUUUAAAAGGCAUUUUUGCGAGGAAUCACUAACUUAGCUUUUUUAGUUAUGUUCUAACUUACGACUGCAUAACAUUUUUCCACCACACAUACAAACAUAAAUUUGUACUUAUCUUAUCCACAUUCAUUGUAUAUAAUAUAGUAUGUGGCAUUUCUGGUAAUUGCUAAUCACAUGCAAACAAAAGAAUGGAUAAAAGAUGGAGUCUUCAAGGUAUGACUGCUCUUGUGACCGGUGGAGCCAGCGGAAUCGGGUUAGUCUUUCUGCUUACCCAUUGUUCUAUCUUAGAUGGUCAAGAUUUCAAGGAAUUUGUGCUUUUUGAAAGUCUAGGUAUGCCAUAGUAGAAGAGUUAGCUAGUUUUGGAGCUAGAAUCCAUGUAUGUGAUAUAUCUGAAACUCUGCUUCAUCAAAGUUUAAGCGAAUGGGAAAAGAAAGGGUUUCAAGUGAGUGGUUCAAUCUGUGAUGUAACCUCUCGUCCCGAGAGAGAAACUUUGAUGCAAAAAGUCUCCUCACUGUUCGAUGGCAAACUCAACAUUCUUGUAAGUAGUAAAUGAUCUUUGCUAGAAACAACUAAGCAAAUUGUUUCAAAAAGAACAUCCUAUUUAUGUUCAACAUAGGUGAACAAUGUGGGCGUACUACACGGAAAGCCAACAACAGAAUAUGUGGCAGAAGAUUUCGCUUUGCACAUCUCAACAAACUUGGAGGCUUCUUACCAUUUUUGCCAGCUUUCACAUCCUCUCCUAAAGGCUUCAGGCUAUGGAAGCAUCGUCUUCAUGUCUUCUGUUGCAGGGAUUGUAUCAAUUGACUGUGGAUCUAUUUAUGGUCUUACCAAAGGUAACCACAGCUACUACUAGAUGCUGUUCAUUGCAAGGCAAGCUAAUAAACAAGGAUGUUUUGUUGAUCUCUUUAACAGGAGCUCUGAAUCAGCUAGCUAGAAAUUUGGCUUGUGAAUGGGCAAAAGACGGAAUAAGAGCCAACGCUGUUGCACCUAAUGUUGUCAAGACUCGACAGUCUCAAUCUGUAAUUAAAAGAAAUAGAAAAAAAGCUUUUACAGAUUUUUGUGUGAAUUUGGCAACUUUAAUUCCUCUAACCAUCUCUCAUUUUUUUUUGUUUCUUGAAGUUUCUUGAGGACGUCAGUUUCAAGGAAGGAUUGUUUGGUAGAACUCCACUUGGUCGCGCUGGAGAGCUAAAUGAAGUUGCAUCACUAGUGGUCUUCUUGUGUCUACCUGCUGCUUCUUACAUUACUGGUCAAACUAUUUGUGUUGAUGGAGGUCUCACUGUUAAUGGCUUCUCCUAUCAGCCACAUGCUUGAGUCAGAUCUUCUUUAUGUGUGGACAGACUCAUUAUUUUUUGUUUAUUUUCGGCCUUGUUAAC